AUACUUACCUGGCAGGGGAGACACCAUGAUUAUGAAGGUGGUUUUCCAAGGGCGAGGUUGAUCCAAUGCACUCAGGGUGUGCUGACCCCUGCAAUUUCCCCAAAUGUGGGAGACUCGACUGCAUAAUUCAUGGUGGUGGGGGACUGUGUGCAUGCUCUCCCCUG
ensembl:snRNA U1 U1 spliceosomal RNA